CCUACGGGAGGCAGCAGUGAGGAAUAUUGCACAAUGGGGGAAACCCUGAUGCAGCGACGCCGCGUGAGUGAAGAAGUAUUUCGGUAUGUAAAGCUCUAUCAGCAGGGGAGCAAAUGACGGUACCUGAUUAAGAAGCCCCGUCUUCACACGUGACAACCGCGGCGGUACUACGUAGGGGGCAAGCGUUAUCCGGAUUUACUGGGUGUAAACGGGGCGUAGACGGCAUGGCAAGUCUGGUGUGAAAGGCAGGGGCGCAACCCCUGGACUGCAUUGGAAACUGUCAGGCUGGAGUGCAGGAGAGGUAAGUGGAAUGCGUGGUGUAGCGGUGAAAUGCGUAGAUAUUAGGAGGAACACCGGUGGCGAAGGCGACUUACUGGAGUGUAACUGACGUUGAGGCUCGAAAGCGUGGGGAGCAAACAGGAUUAGAUACCCUUGUAGUC
rnacentral:rRNA from 1 species